rnacentral:rRNA from 1 species
AGGCCAGACUCCUACGGGAGGCAGCAGUGGGGGAUAUUGCACAAUGGGGGCAACCCCGAUGCAGCGACGCCGCGUGAGCGAUGGAGUACUUCGGUAUGUAAAGCUCUGUCAGCAGGGAAGAGAAUGACGGUACCUGACCAAGAAGCCCCGGCUAAAUACGUGCCAGCAGCCGCGGUAAUACGUAUGGUGCAAGCGUUAUCCGGAUUUACUGGGCGUAAAGGGAGCGCAGGCGGCGCGCCAAGUCUGAUGUGAAACCCCGGGGCUCAACCCCGGGCAUGCAUUGGAAACUGGCGGGCUGGAGUGCCGGAGAGGUAAGCGGAAUUCCUAGUGUAGCGGUGAAAUGCGUAGAUAUUAGGAGGAACACCAGUGGCGAAGGCGGCUUACUGGACGGCAACUGACGCUGAGGCUCGAAAGCGUGGGGAGCAAACAGGAUUAGAUACCCGAGUA